rnacentral:rRNA from 1 species
CAGUAGCCGCGGUAAUACGAAGGGGGCUAGCGUUGUUCGGAAUUACUGGGCGUAAAGCGCACGUAGGCGGAUAUUUAAGUCAGGGGUGAAAUCCCGCAGCUCAACUGCGGAACUGCCGUUGAUACUGGGUAUCUUGAGUAUGGAAGAGGUUAGUGGAAUUGCGAGUGUAGAGGUGAAAUGCGUAGAUAUUCGCAGGAACACCAGAGGCGAAGGCGGCUAACUGGUCCAUAACUGACGCUGAGGUGCGAAAGCGUGGGGAGCAAACAGGAUUAGAUACCCCCGUAGUCCCUGUCUCUUAUAC